ACCUGGAGAGAGUUAACGUGUGUACGGGCCGCAUGACAUGACAUGAGCGAAAACCUAACGAUACGAAUACCACAGGCAACACACGCAUAGGUACAAUGUUCGAGAUCCCUGCAGCAAAAGUGUCACUGCUUAAACUGAAUUAAAAUUACAGACAGAGAUUAAGUUUAAAACAUAGAGUUACUAUACUUAUUAACUCCAUGGUUUAAAAUCUAUGGUACAUACGGUAACCAUAGAUUAUACACUUAAUAUAUUCGAGAACGGUAACCACCGAACGAGAAAACACUUGAACAAAGAAUUAAAUCAAAUCAAAUUGAAUUGUCAAAUUUGGUCAAAUUGAUAAGUUCUUUUGUGGGCCGGCAAUUGCUAGGUAUACGUAGUAGAUAGUGUAAAAGACAGCUCAUAGUUUUUUUAACAACCCAUAAUCCUAUUAGGGACAUCACAAUGCAAAGUGUAAUAAACACAGUAAAGGGAACUGCUCUUGGCGUGGCCGGUUACUUGACACCGGUGUUGAAGGAAUCGAAAUUUCAAGAAACUGGUGUACUGACUCCUGAAGAGUUUGUAGCUGCUGGUGACCACCUGGUACACCACUGCCCUACCUGGCAGUGGGCAAAGGGAGAGGAAGCUAAGAUUAGGCCUUACCUUCCUGCAGACAAACAAUUCCUUAUAACUCGAAAUGUGCCAUGCUACAGACGAUGUAAACAAAUUGAAUACUGUGAAGAUAAAGAGAAAGUGAUAGAAGAUGAAAACGAUGCAGAUGGUGGCUGGGUUGAUACUCAUCACUAUGACAAUGCAGGCUCCCCUGCACUCGAGGAAAAGGUCUGUGAGAUGACCCUCGAAGCAGCUGACACUGGCGACAGUGACGAUGGAGCUGCCGACGGUGGUGAUGAUGAUGAAGACGAAGAUGAUGAGGGCGAGGCUGAGGACAUGGAGCAGUUCCAAGAAUCUGGUCUUUUAGAUGAAGUAGAUCCGUCAACAGAUCUAGCCCAGCGUACAGAGCUAAAACUCAAAGCCGAUAAGAAACAGAAGCAAGGAGAAGGUGAUGAGAUCGUCCGGACUCGAACUUACGACCUACACAUCACUUAUGACAAGUAUUACCAAACUCCGAGGCUGUGGCUCAUCGGAUAUGAUGAGAACCGGUCACUCCUGACUGUGGAACAGAUGUACGAAGACGUGUCCCAAGAUCACGCUAAAAAGACUGUCACGAUGGAAUCUCACCCUCAUCUCUCUGGACCCAGCAUGGCUUCUGUACACCCUUGCAGGCACGCGGACGUCAUGAAGAAGAUAAUAGAGACGGUAACGGAGAGCGGCGGCGAGAUGGGCGUCCACUCCUACCUCAUAGUAUUCCUGAAAUUCGUACAAACAGUUAUACCCACCAUCGAAUAUGAUUUCACACAGAAUUUCUCGAUUAAUUAACUUUAAGCAUAUUGUUUAUGGUUCAGCUUUUUACGGUACAAAGAUAGCAAGCAGCGCUUGUAGAGCACAAUUGUCUGUGGUCCCGAUGUUAAAUGUUUGAAGACGCUAAGCAAGACUUUUAGUUUUAAUAUGAACACCUGAAGUUUGUAAACACAAAAUAAUAUAUAUUGGCUUAUCAUGCUGUAAUGUUUUGUAAAUAUACAACACUUUACUGAUUUAUUUUGUUAUAAGGUCCAAUGUUCAAAAACACAAUCCAUCAUUCUCUAAAAAUUGUUUUAUUGUUUCUUUUAAAUGUUACCAGCAAAUUAAACAGUAUCUAAAUUGAAUUAAAAGAAUUAAAAGAAUUAGGCGAGGAAAACAUUCAUUUUCUUUAUACUACGUGUUUCUAUCGAUCUGUUAUGAAAUUUGUAUGUAUAAGUGAAUAUGUAAAUACCCUCUACAGCUCAUUCAUAAAUACAUGUCUUAUUUUUGUUCUUUCUUUAAAAUCGACAAGUUCAAUAAUGCGUUUUUCAAUCGUUUGCAAUCUUGUCUUUUGUAUAACGAAUCGCAUUAUAUUUUAAAAAUUCAUUCUCAUAUCGCUGUUGCUGACAACAAUUUUGGCAGCGCGUUAUUUUUUUAACAUUAAGUGCAUAUUUAAAGGCCAGUAAUACAUUGCAGCUUUAUGAUUGCAUUUAUUACCACCUAAUGCACUUAUAAACUAUUUUUAUGUAAUAUGAUUUAAAAAUGUGUUUUAAACAUUUUGUUAUUAUAAAUGUGUAAUAAAACUGUAAAAUAAAUAGGAUUCUGUUAUAUUCUAUAAACGUUAAGUAGGUAAAUACUAAAAUUGUAAUUUUUUGUUUAAUUUAUUUUAUUACUCUUUUUUUUAUAAUUCGCCAUAUUCUGUGCGGUGUUAAUUUGCAUUGUCCUUUAUUUUUGGUAAAUAGGGUAUUUGUCUGUUGCUAAAUUAUUAGAAACUCAAUCAGCAAUAAGGCAUUUUUCUGUCUCUCAACAAGCUUUCUGGUCUAUAACUCAAUUCUUAACUUAAAUAUUUUAUGGGUUGUCCUUCACCAUCAAAAUCAAGUGAUUCGCCAUUUAGACAGACGACUUCGCAAGUUAUUAGACAGGCUGCGACGUCCGAAUUUAUCACUGUAUAUGCAAGUUAUACCGGAUCUGUACUGGACUUAAUUUUUAAAUUCAAAUACCCUUUUAAAAGCUAGUUUUUCUAUUAUCUCUUUUUGUGUUAUGAUUGGAAUUACCAUGAUAUUGUAUAUUGCGCAUGUAUGUUCUAUAAACUCGUUUAAUCGCAUAUCAUUUUAAGUUUGAAAUACAUAUUUUUUUUAAAUUAAAUGUUAUUUUGCUACGGUA